CAUUGGGCCAAAGAAUGCCCCAACAAAACGCCCCAGAAGUCACAGCCCUCCAGCCCUGGAUCAACCUCCGCGAAUGGUUCUGGUUUGCCACCGAUUCGAUGUCCUUGUGGUCGAGGCACUUGCCAAAUUCUCACCUCCAAAACGGAGAAAAAUCCUGAGAGGAAGUUCUAUAGGUGCCCUGGUGAUAGAUCAACGGUUGAUGGCUACUGUAACUUCUUUAAAUGGUGCGAUGAAUUAAGUGAUAGAGCUCUGUGCCCUUGUGGUGUUGGAAUUUGUAGUCUAAAUCUUAGCAGAGAAUCCACAGGGCCCAAUGGAGAAAAUUGGUACUUUGCUUGCAGGAUUAAAAAGAAUCACGGAGCUUGUAGUUUUUUCCAGUGGGUAGAUUCUGAAGUGAAUGCAAUGAUGAGAAAGUAUGUGGGUAAAAGCAAUGGGUCUAACAGUGCAAUUAAUGAAUUGGACAAUAAAGAAUUGAGUUCUACAAUAGGUGACUCUGGCACUAUCUUAGUAGGUGCUGAAAAUGCCUCAAAUAUGCCAAACAUUGUUAUACCUUCAGAGCAAGAUGAAAUGCACAAUUGGGAACUUGUCAUGGAAGAUGUGGAGUCAGAGGUUCCACUGCUAGUUUUCCAACGUAUGCGUCAAUCAAAGUCUUAUUUCCUGAAAGAGUUAGCCAGGCAAAUUUCUGUUGCAGGGAAUACCAUAACUCAGGAU
rnacentral:misc_RNA from 1 species